AUGGUGCUCUUCCUCACUGAGACUACAAUUGGAGCAGGCACACUGCCCACAAGCUCUCAAACACUUCCUCAGCUCCCACACUUUUCAGUUACCCCUGCCGCCCCAGAUGAGUUCCCUUUGGGCCGCGGCGCCCUGUGCUCUGCAACGCUGCGGCGGGCAGCUUGGGAUAACGCAGCCGCGCGCAGAGAUCGCCUCCGCAGGAUGAGGGAGUGGUGGGUCCAGGUGGGUCCGGGUGGGGCUGUGGGCAGUGCUUCUGCUUGCUGCGCAUCCGCACAUCCGGCGCCCUCAGCUCUCACACGAUCUUCACUCCUGGAAGUCUUCAGACUCUGUGGGUGUGGAUGGAAGUCAGGAGAUAGUUGUGGUUUUACACGUUUUCCAACAUCCAGCUACGAUUGGUACAAUAUUUGGGAAGGUCUGCCCUUGAGGUUUCAUCGAGUGAUUGCCCUUGAUUUCUUAGGCGUUGGCUUCAGUGACAAACCGAGACCACAUCACUAGUCCAUAUUUGAGCAGGUCAGCAUCGUGGAAGCGCUUUUGCGGCAUCUGGGGCUCCAGAACCUCAGGAUCAAGUCUCAUGACUGUGGAGAUAAUUGUUGCUCAGGACCUUCUCUUCAGGUACAAGCAGAAUCGAUCUGGUCGGCUUACCAUAAAGAGUCUCUGUCUGUCAAAUGGAGGUAUCUUCCCUGAGACUCACCGUCCUCUCCUUCUCCAAAUGCUACCCAAAGAUGGAGGUGUGCUAUCACCCAUCCUCACACAACUGAUGAACUUCUUUGUAUUCUCUCGAGGUCUCACCACAGUCUUUGGGCUGUAUACUUGGCCCUCUGAGAGUGAGCUGUGGGACAUGUGGGCAGAGAUCCCCAACAAUGACGGGAACUUAGCCAUUGAUGGUCUCUUACAGUACAUCAAUCAGAGGAAGAAGUUCAGAAGGCGCUGGGUGGGAGCUCUUGCCUCUGUAACUAUCCCUAUUCAUUUUAUCUAUGGGCCAUUGGAUCCUGUAAAUCUCUAUCCAGAGUUUUUGGAGCUGUACGGGAAAACGCUGCUGUGAUCCACAGUGUCGAUUCUGGAUGACCACCACAUAAGCCACUAUCCACAGCUAGAUGAUGCCAUUGGCUCCUUGAAUGCAUAUAUGGGCUUCAUCACCUCCUUCUGA